UUUUGCCAUGUUGGCCAGGGUGGUCUCGAACUCCUGACCUCAAGUGAUCCAACCGCAUCGGCCUCCCAAAGUGCUGGGCUUAUAGGUGUGAACCACUGCGCCUGUCCCGUUGUGUAAUUUUAAUAAUUAGUUUUUUAAGUACUUGAUUUUAUGGGCACAUUUUUGUGGGAUGAUUGGAGUUAAUCAAAUAUAGCUUGUCAUGUGUGUAGUUUGGUAAGAUAACUUUUUUAAAUUCAUGUUUUCUCUGCCUUGAGGUAGUGAGGGAAAGAUCUUAAUCAGGAUUUUGGUAAUUACCUGAUUGAAUUCAAGCAAAUAAGACAUCAUGAACUUCAGUGGUUAUUGAUAUUUCAGGGUAUAUACCUGAAAUGCCUAGAGGAUACAGAUUUCUCAUUUCAUUCUUUGGUCUUUCAUUUCUCUAUAUACAGAAAUGACACUUCUGGGAGGCGGUAGUAGCAGGAAGUCAAUGAAUUGAGUAGAGGGUCCCGUUCCCUCAGGCUAUCAUUGAUCAGUGACAAUUUAUAAAAACAAACUGCAAAGUCUGCGGCAAGCGGCCGCCUGCUUCCUAGAAGGAGCCCAUGAAGGUUAAACUCCAUGGUCAGUGUUCGCAAGCACCGGGCGUGGUGGCUCACACCUGUAAUCCUAGCACCUUGGGAGGCCAAGGCGGGUGGAUCACCCGAGGUCAGGAGUUUGAGGAUUUGCAAGCAAAAGGUCCUCUCCUGAGUCUUUCCCAGAUACCCAGCAGUGCAGAGGCUAGCUGUGGAAGGUUGCAGUGGGACAGGAGUGUACUGUAUGCCUUGCCUUACUUGUCACCAUUGAGAUUUCCAGAGAAAUGGGCAUAACGCCUCUUAACAGCAACAGCAAAAAGCAAAAUACAUUAACUUAAGGUUGACAACAAAAGAUUAUCAAGUACCAUGUUUUCCAACCAACCAGUUAUUUGUGGUAAUAACAAAAUAAAGGUGGGAAAAUGUUAUAAUUUUUAAGGAAACUGUGUACUUUAAAAAUCUUCUUUAUGAAUAUCCAAUGUUACUGUAAUCCUGCUCCAUUAAAUGCAGCCUUGUUGUCAGGUGCUGCCCCUUGCUUGGGAACAGCAUUGGGCUUUUAAAUGUCUGCAGAAUCUCUGCAUUCAAAGGGAAUUGAGAAUGAACUUCUUGGUACUGUAAUGAAAAUAAGGUCUGCUCAACAUAAUAAACUUUUCCUCUGUUCUUUAAAA